rnacentral:tRNA from 1 species
GUGGCAGGGCUGUAGUCCUGCAAACAUAGGUAUUAGUCCUGUUUCUAUCA